rnacentral:rRNA from 1 species
UGUGAGCUCGAUGAGUAGGGCGGGACACGUGGUAUCCUGUCUGAAUAUGGGGGGACCAUCCUCCAAGGCUAAAUACUCCUGACUGACCGAUAGUGAACCAGUACCGUGAGGGAAAGGCGAAAAGAACCCCGGCGAGGGGAGUGAAAAAGAACCUGAAACCGUGUACGUACAAGCAGUGGGAGCACGCUUAGGCGUGUGACUGCGUACCUUUUGUAUAAUGGGUCAGCGACUUAUAUUCUGUAGCAAGGUUAACCGAAUAGGGGAGCCGAAGGGAAACCGAGUCUUAACUGGGCGUUAAGUUGCAGGGUAUAGACCCGAAACCCGGUGAUCUAGCCAUGGGCAGGUUGAAGGUUGGGUAACACUAACUGGAGGACCGAACCGACUAAUGUUGAAAAAUUAGCGGAUGACUUGUGGCUGGGGGUGAAAGGCCAAUCAAACCGGGAGAUAGCUGGUUCUCCCCGAAAGCUAUUUAGGUAGCGCCUCGUGAAUUCAUCUCCGGGGGUAGAGCACUGUUUCGGCAAGGGGGUCAUCCCGACUUACCAACCCGAUGCAAACUGCGAAUACCGGAGAAUGUUAUCACGGGAGACACACGGCGGGUGCUAACGUCCGUCGUGAAGAGGGAAACAACCCAGACCGCCAGCUAAGGUCCCAAAGUCAUGGUUAAGUGGGAAACGAUGUGGGAAGGCCCAGACAGCCAGGAUGUUGGCUUAGAAGCAGCCAUCAUUUAAAGAAAGCGUAAUAGCUCACUGGUCGAGUCGGCCUGCGCGGAAGAUGUAACGGGGCUAAACCAUGCACCGAAGCUGCGGCAGCGACGCUUAUGCGUUGUUGGGUAGGGGAGCGUUCUGUAAGCCUGUGAAGGUGUGCUGUGAGGCAUGCUGGAGGUAUCAGAAGUGCGAAUGCUGACAUAAGUAACGAUAAAGCGGGUGAAAAGCCCGCUCGCCGGAAGACCAAGGGUUCCUGUCCAACGUUAAUCGGGGCAGGGUGAGUCGACCCCUAAGGCGAGGCCGAAAGGCGUAGUCGAUGGGAAACAGGUUAAUAUUCCUGUACUUGGUGUUACUGCGAAGGGGGGACGGAGAAGGCUAUGUUGGCCGGGCGACGGUUGUCCCGGUUUAAGCGUGUAGGCUGGUUUUCCAGGCAAAUCCGGAAAAUCAAGGCUGAGGCGUGAUGACGAGGCACUACGGUGCUGAAGCAACAAAUGCCCUGCUUCCAGGAAAAGCCUCUAAGCAUCAGGUAACAUCAAAUCGUACCCCAAACCGACACAGGUGGUCAGGUAGAGAAUACCAAGGCGCUUGAGAGAACUCGGGUGAAGGAACUAGGCAAAAUGGUGCCGUAACUUCGGGAGAAGGCACGCUGAUAUGUAGGUGAAGUCCCUUGCGGAUGGAGCUGAAAUCAGUCGAAGAUACCAGCUGGCUGCAACUGUUUAUUAAAAACACAGCACUGUGCAAACACGAAAGUGGACGUAUACGGUGUGACGCCUGCCCGGUGCCGGAAGGUUAAUUGAUGGGGUCAGCGCAAGCGAAGCUCUUGAUCGAAGCCCCGGUAAACGGCGGCCGUAACUAUAACGGUCCUAAGGUAGCGAAAUUCCUUGUCGGGUAAGUUCCGACCUGCACGAAUGGCGUAAUGAUGGCCAGGCUGUCUCCACCCGAGACUCAGUGAAAUUGAACUCGCUGUGAAGAUGCAGUGUACCCGCGGCAAGACGGAAAGACCCCGUGAACCUUUACUAUAGCUUGACACUGAACAUUGAGCCUUGAUGUGUAGGAUAGGUGGGAGGCUUUGAAGUGUGGACGCCAGUCUGCAUGGAGCCGACCUUGAAAUACCACCCUUUAAUGUUUGAUGUUCUAACGUUGACCCCUAAUCGGGGUUGCGGACAGUGUCUGGUGGGUAGUUUGACUGGGGCGGUCUCCUCCUAAAGAGUAACGGAGGAGCACGAAGGUUGGCUAAUCCUGGUCGGACAUCAGGAGGUUAGUGCAAUGGCAUAAGCCAGCUUGACUGCGAGCGUGACGGCGCGAGCAGGUGCGAAAGCAGGUCAUAGUGAUCCGGUGGUUCUGAAUGGAAGGGCCAUCGCUCAACGGAUAAAAGGUACUCCGGGGAUAACAGGCUGAUACCGCCCAAGAGUUCAUAUCGACGGCGGUGUUUGGCACCUCGAUGUCGGCUCAUCACAUCCUGGGGCUGAAGUAGGUCCCAAGGGUAUGGCUGUUCGCCAUUUAAAGUGGUACGCGAGCUGGGUUUAGAACGUCGUGAGACAGUUCGGUCCCUAUCUGCCGUGGGCGCUGGAGAACUGAGGGGGGCUGCUCCUAGUACGAGAGGACCGGAGUGGACGCAUCACUGGUGUUCGGGUUGUCAUGCCAAUGGCACUGCCCGGUAGCUAAAUGCGGAAGAGAUAAGUGCUGAAAGCAUCUAAGCACGAAACUUGCCCCGAGAUGAGUUCUCCCUGACCCUUUAAGGGUCCUGAAGGAACGUUGAAGACGACGACGUUGAUAGGCCGGGUGUGUAAGCGCAGCGAUGCGUUGAGCUAACCGGUACUAAUGAACCGUGAGGCUUAACCUUACAACGCCGAAGCUGUU